ACCCCUGGUAACAGGUGAGAAAUGCUGC
rnacentral:piRNA from 1 species